GACAGAGGUGCCAAGCGUUAGGCGGAAUCACUGGGCUUAAAGCGCGUGUAGGCGGAUUUGUAAGUACCUUGUGAAAUCCCACGGCUCAACCGUGGAACUGCUCGGUAUACUGCUUAUCUUGAGCCACGUAGGGGCUACCGGAACAAAUGGUGGAGCGGUGAAAUGCGUAGAUAUCAUUUGGAACGCCAAUGGUGAAAACAGGUAGCUGGGAGUGUGCUGACGCUGAGACACGAAGGCCAGGGGAGCAAACGGG
rnacentral:rRNA from 1 species